GUAGCUGGUUGCUAGGCUCAGGGACUUACAGUUGCUAUAGGCCUCAGGCCUGCAAGGCUGUUCUUAGCUCUCUUAGGAGUGCAGCUGAGUGGGGCUGACCCUAGGCAUGAGAGCACCCAAUUGUUUCAGGCUUUGGAAGGCAGGGAGAAUCCUUUUAAUGACUAUUUGUGAGGCACAGGUCUUCUGUCACUGAUAAGCCCCACCCCCCCACAGGUCUACACACACUGUCAACACAGUCCUGGUCUGUGAACACUUCCCAACCCCCUGGAGUGUACCCUGAUGCCCCACUACAGAGGCCCCCACCUCUCCACUGAUGCCCCCACAGUUCACCUGGUCCUCACACAGGCCCUGCCCAACAGAGGCAGACACACUCACCUGCCUGUAGAGGAUCCAGGCACCGAGUCUAUGCAGGCCGACAAGUAGCCUGAGGGCUUGCUGUUGGGUGGGGCCAGCCCCUAGGGUGGGUUCCCUGCCCUGGCUGAACUGGAUUAAAUCUGCAUUCUAGUGGGUGUGACAGACCCCUGGGCUAACAGGCCAGGGGAAGGACUUCAAUGGCAUCUACCAGGGUCUGUGUCAGCACACCUGGACUAGGUGACAAUGGCCACCACCAAUGUCUCAGUCUCUGGAGAGGUCUCACCUCUCACUGAGAUGCACCAGAGCUUACCAGGUGAGUCUCUUUUCACCAAAGGACUUUCAGCCUUCUUUCUGGUGAUUUUAGGUUGCUCUCUGAGACAAGUGAGUUUGUUCAUGGGCCCUUUAAGGCCCAAGAUUUUUCUGCUUUUGUCCAAUAGCUUUUCUGGGGGUAUUCCCUGCUGUAGUUAAUAGCCAGCGAAGCCAGAUAGUAAGACCCUCAUCUCAGUUGUGCUGAGUCUGAACGAUGCUUACAGCAGUAACGGGCCCCUGCUCAGGACCUCACCCCUCCAGGGAGGGCUGCUUACCUUAGGGUGGCUCCUGCCUGGCUGGCUGCUCGUGAAGGUGGCUUUUUUUCUCUCCAGAAGGAAUUUCUGCCUCAGUCAAGACUGUCCCUUUUUGUGGGGGUUCUUUUUAUCCAGUUUUCAGUUUUCUAUCCAGGGUAAUUUUUCCAAAGAUAGUCAUAACCUGGUUGUGUUCACAGGAGGAAGUGAGUUCAGAGCCUGCCUACACUGCCAUCUUGACGAGAUCUCUGAUAUUUUUUCUAUUAAAAAUAUGUUACAGAGAAAUUUCUGGAUCAGCAUGGCAAAUUUAACACAUGUUUUUAUUUCCUCUCCUUCUUUAAACCCGCCAAUAAAGGAAUUUUUUAAAGGUGUAGACCCACAAGAACAAAGAGAACUAAAGGGGAGACAAUAACAAAAGAAAGCUACCAGCAAAUUUUUGGAAUGUUAAAAGCAGGUGGCAAAACAGUAGCUGUUGCAACAAAGAGCAUCAGUUACAUCUCAGGUGCAAAUAGGAAAUUAACCAGGUGACACCAAGAGCCGGGACCCCAAGACCUGGAGAUGCAAAUACUAUGGAAGGUGG
rnacentral:lncRNA from 1 species